UACGUAGGGUGCAAGCGUUAAUCGGAAUUACUGGGCGUAAAGCGUGCGCAGGCGGUCUUGCAAGACAGAUGUGAAAUCCCCGGGCUUAACCUGGGAACUGCAUUUGUGACUGCAAGGCUGGAGUACGGUAGAGGGGGAUGGAAUUCCGCGUGUAGCAGUGAAAUGCGUAGAUAUGCGGAGGAACACCGAUGGCGAAGGCAAUCCCCUGGACCUGUACUGACGCUCAUGCACGAAAGGCGUGGGGAGCAAACGAGG
rnacentral:rRNA from 1 species